GUUGGACCAUAUAUGAUAAAAAUAGUAAUUUUUUAUAGCUAACUAUUAUACAAGCUAACUAUAAAAUAGGUUAUAAAAUGGUUUAUAGUCAGCAGUUGGCUAUACUAUUAACCAUGCUCUCAGUGAACAGUUUAGGAUAGCCCACAAAAUGUUAAAUGGGUGAUCCAUCAUUGGCCCUCUUUGGAUCCAUAGGCUAGAGUUAGUUUGAGCUAGUUGAGGCUCAAAUAGCACUAAAGUAUCCAAACAUGAGGGUUAGAUUGAAGCUAGUUGCAUCUAACCCACCCAAAAAACUAGCCCACCCAAGAGGUGCUAAUUGGAGCUAGUUUUCAUGGGGCCCACUAAAAAGUCACUUUUCUCUCUCCAUUCACAAGAUAAUAGGUGUUAAUUGAAGCUAGUUCUCAUGGGACCCACUAAAAAAUCACUUUCCUCUCUUCAUCAAGUACACCUAUUGUCAAUCUAACUCUAUCAUCCAAACACCUCUUUGGCUAGAGUUAGUUUAAGGUUAGUCAUGAGCUAGAAACUAACUCUAACCUCUAGCUAAGUUAGAUUAUCCAAAGAGGGCCAUUGAAUUGAAGUCUGUCUCCGGCAAUCUACCUAUGGAUGAUGAGUUAUUGAUGAGGGACGUUUGGCCUCUGUGGUCCGGUCCGGCGCUGCACUGCUUUGGCCCCUUCACCUUGCACUCCCCUAUUCCUUUAUCCUUUG
rnacentral:lncRNA from 1 species